CUACAUGAAGCUGGAAUCGCUAGUAAUCGCGAAUCAGAAUGUCGCGGUGAAUACGUUCCCGGGUCUUGUACACACCGCCCGUCACACCAUGGGAGUCGGAAAUGCCCGAAGUCAGUGACCCAACCGUAAGGAGGGAGCUGCCGAAGGUGGAGCCGGUAACUGGGGUGAAGUCGUAACAAGGUACC
rnacentral:rRNA from 1 species